rnacentral:rRNA from 1 species
AGUAUAAGCAAUUAUACCGUGAAACUGCGAAUGGCUCAUUAAAUCAGUUAUCGUUUAUUGAUAGUACCUUACUACUUGGAUAACCGUGGUAAUUCUAGAGCUAAUACAUGCUAAAAGCCUCGACUUCGGGAGAGGCGUAUUUAUUAGAUAAAAAGCCAAUGCCCUUCGGGGCUCCUUGGUGAUUCAUGAUAACUUAACGGAUCGCAUGGCCUUGCGCCGGCGACGGUUCAUUCAAAUUUCUGCCCUAUCAACUUUCGAUGGUAAGGUAUUGGCUUACCAUGGUUUCAACGGGUAACGGGGGAUUAGGGUUCGAUUCCGGAGAGGGAGCCUGAGAAACGGCUACCACAUCCAAGGAAGGCAGCAGGCGCGCAAAUUACCCAAUCCCGACACGGGGAGGUAGUGACAAUAAAUACUGAUACAGGGCUCUUUUGGGUCUUGUAAUCGGAAUGAGUACAAUUUAAAUCCCUUAACGAGGAACAAUUGGAGGGCAAGUCUGGUGCCAGCAGCCGCGGUAAUUCCAGCUCCAAUAGCGUAUAUUAAAGUUGUUGCAGUUAAAAAGCUCGUAGUUGAACCUUGGGCCUGGCUGGCCGGUCCGCCUCACCGCGUGUACUGGUCCGGCCGGGCCUUUCCUUCUGGUGAGCCUCAUGCCCUUCACUGGGUGUGCUGGGGAACCAGGACUUUUACUGUGAACAAAUUAGAGUGUUCAAAGCAGGCCUUUGCUCGAAUACAUUAGCAUGGAAUAAUGAAAUAGGACGUGCGGUCCUAUUUUGUUGGUUUCUAGGACCGCCGUAAUGAUUAAUAGGGAUAGUCGGGGGCAUCAGUAUUCAAUUGUCAGAGGUGAAAUUCUUGGAUUUAUUGAAGACUAACUACUGCGAAAGCAUUUGCCAAGGAUGUUUUCAUUAAUCAGUGAACGAAAGUUAGGGGAUCGAAGACGAUCAGAUACCGUCGUAGUCUUAACCGUAAACUAUGCCGACUAGGGAUCGGGCGAUGUUUCUAUCUUGACUCGCUC